rnacentral:tRNA from 1 species
GAAUAAUUAAGGAAAGAGAGGGAUUCGACCCCCUCGGUAA